UACAGAGGUCUCAAGCGUUGUUCGGAUUCAUUGGGCGUAAAGGGUGCGUAGGCGGCGCGGUAAGUCGGGUGUGAAAUCUCGGAGCUUAACUCCGAAACUGCAUUCGAUACUGCCGUGCUUGAGGACUGGAGAGGAGACUGGAAUUUACGGUGUAGCGGUGAAAUGCGUAGAGAUCAGGAGAACGAACCGGUGGCGAAAGCGGCUC
rnacentral:rRNA from 1 species